rnacentral:rRNA from 1 species
GAUGAACGCUGGCGGCGUGCCUAAUACAUGCAAGUCGAGCGAACGGACGAGAAGCUUGCUUCUCUGAUGUUAGCGGCGGACGGGUGAGUAACACGUGGAUAACCUACCUAUAAGACUGGGAUAACUUCGGGAAACCGGAGCUAAUACCGGAUAAUAUUUUGAACCGCAUGGUUCAAAAGUGAAAGACGGUCUUGCUGUCACUUAUAGAUGGAUCCGCGCUGCAUUAGCUAGUUGGUAAGGUAACGGCUUACCAAGGCAACGAUGCAUAGCCGACCUGAGAGGGUGAUCGGCCACACUGGAAAUGAGACACGGUCCAGACUCCGACGGGAGGCAGCAGUAGGGAAUCUUCCGCAAUGGGCGAAAGCCUGACGGAGCAACGCCGCGUGAGUGAUGAAGGUCUUCGGAUCGUAAAACUCUGUUAUUAGGGAAGAACAAAUGUGUAAGUAACUAUGCACAUCUUGACGGUACAUAAUCAGAAAGCCACGGCUAACUACGUG